UGGGGAAUAUUGCACAAUGGGCGCAAGCCUGAUGCAGCCAUGCCGCGUGUGUGAAGAAGGCCUUCGGGUUGUAAAGCACUUUCAGCGGGGAGGAAGGCGUUAAGGUUAAUAACCUUGGCGAUUGACGUUACCCGCAGAAGAAGCACCGGCUAACUCCGUGCCAGCAGCCGCGGUAAUACGGAGGGUGCAAGCGUUAACCGGAAUUACUGGGCGUAAAGCGCACGCAGGCGGUCUGUCAAGUCGGAUGUGAAAUCCCCGGGCUCAACCUGGGAACUGCAUUCGAAACUGGCAGGCUAGAGUCUUGUAGAGGGGGGUAGAAUUCCAGGUGUAGCGGUGAAAUGCGUAGAGAUCUGGAGGAAUACCGGUGGCGAAGGCGGCCACCUGGACAAAGACUGACGCUCAGGUGCGAAAGCGUGGGGAGCAAACAGG
rnacentral:rRNA from 1 species